rnacentral:lncRNA from 1 species
CCUUAGGACAGAACUAAAGGAUCUUAACCCGCUCUGAUACCAAUUGUAACGGCCUGAUCCCCCGGCGUCCGAUCAGGGUUAUCGAAAAGGCGUUAUGGACACGUGUCUACUCAUUUAGACAACCAUAUGUGUCCCGUUACUGGUCCCAAGAGUCGACGGACACAUAACCUUCUUUGAAAUACCGUCACACCCACAUCCAUAUACUUCUACUUACAGUCCUGCACACAGGGAAAUGGAAAGGGAGGGAUGAGCAAAAAGUUACUCAGUGAAGUGACUCUAGACCAGCCUGCCCGCAUGACACUCUAUACAACUCUAUGCGGGAACUAGGGCUGACUAGCCACUACAAUCAGUUGAUGCAUCUUAACAUUUCAUAUUAUCAUCAUUUAUAUCCACACAUUCAAUUCAAUACAUUUCUAACAACCUACCGAUCAAUCAGUACAAUGAUCUCACUCAUUGUAACACACGUCAAACCAUAGACUUAACCGACUCGACAUACAAGAUCGACUCAAUCUUAUGACACCUUUAACAUCCAGAUACCCGACCAUGAACUAAGGACUCUACAAUGCACGUUUUUAUAUCCCGCCUCUUGCGGCUGGCUCAUCUUUUCUCUUU